GACGAACGCUAGCGGCGUGCUUAACACAUGCAAGUCGAACGGCAAGGCCCUGCUUUUGUGGUGUGCUCGAGUGGCGAACGGGUGAGUAACACUUGAGUAACCUGCCCUUGCCUUUUGGAUAACUUCAGCAAACUGGGGCUAAUACCGGAUAGGAGCUCCUGCUUCAUGCUGGGGGUUGGAAAGAUUGGGGGGUUGGGGAUGGACUCGGGGCUUGUCAGCUUGUAGGUGGUGUAGUGGCUUACCAAGGCUUUGACGUGCAGCCGCCCUGAGAGUGGGACGGGCACAAGGUGCACAGAGAUACGGCCCAGACUCCUGCGGGAUGCAGGAGUAUGGGAUAUUGCACGAUGCGCGGAAGCCGGAUGAAGCAAGACCGCGUGCUGGAUUGUGGCCUUCGGUUUGUAAGCCGCUUUGGCGUGUAUCGAAGCGUGAGUGAAGGUAAUGGGUAAAUAAGGACCGGCUAACUACGUG
rnacentral:rRNA from 1 species